rnacentral:rRNA from 1 species
GACAGAGGGUGCAAACGUUGUUCGGAAUUACUGGGCGUAAAGCGCGUGUAGGCUGCUCUGCAAGUCGGAUGUGAAAGCCCUGGGCUCAACAUAGGAAGUGCACUCGAAACUGCGGAGCUUGAGUCUCGGAGAGGAUCGCGGAAUUCUCGGUGUAGAGGUGAAAUUCGUAGAUAUCGAGAGGAACACCGGUGGCGAAGGCGGCGAUCUGGACGAUGACUGACGCUGAGACGCGAAAGCGUGGGGAGCAAACAGG